rnacentral:rRNA from 1 species
UGAACGCUGGCGGCAUGCUACACAUGCAGUCGAACGGCAGCACGGCCGGGUAACCGGUGGGUGGCGAGUGGCGGACGGGUGAGUAACACGUAGGAAUCUGCCUGGUAAUGGGGGAUAACCCGGGGAAACUCGGGCUAAUACCGCAUACGCUCUACGGAGGAAAGCGGGGGAUCUUCGGACCUCGCGUUAUCAGAUGAGCCUGCGUCCGAUUAGCUGGUUGGCGGGGUAAAGGCCCACCAAGGCGACGAUCGGUAGCUGGUCUGAGAGGACGAUCAGCCACACUGGAACUGAGACACGGUCCAGACUCCUACGGGAGGCAGCAGUGGGGAAUAUUGGACAAUGGGCGCAAGCCUGAUCCAGCAAUGCCGCGUGUGUGAAGAAGGCCUGCGGGUUGUAAAGCACUUUAAGCAGGAAAGAAGGGGUGGAGGCGAAUACCCUCCAUCAUUGACGUUACCUGCAGAAUAAGCACCGGCUAACUCCGUGCCAGCAGCCGCGGUAAUACGGAGGGUGCGAGCGUUAAUCGGAAUUGCUGGGCGUAAAGCGCGCGUAGGCGGUUGGCUAAGUCCGCUGUGAAAGCCCCGGGCUUAACCUGGGAACGGCAGUGGAUACUGGUCGGCUAGAGUGUGGUAGAGGGUGGCGGAAUUUCCGGUGUAGCAGUGAAAUCUGUAGAGAUCGAGAGGAACACCGGUGGCGAAGGCGGCUUCCUGGCCCGCCCCUGACGCUGAGGCGCGAAAGCGUGG